GAUGAACGCUGGCGGCGUGCCUAAUACAUGCAAGUCGAGCGAACGGACGAGAAGCUUGCUUCUCUGAUGUUAGCGGCGGACGGGCGAGUAACACGUGGAUAACCUACCUAUAAGACUGGGAUAACUUCGGGAAACCGGAGCUAAUACCGGAUAAUAUUUUGAACCGCAUGGUUCAAAAGUGAAAGACGGUCUUGCUGUCACUUAUAGAUGGAUCCGCGCUGCAUUAGCUAGUUGGUAAGGUAACGGCUUACCAAGGCAACGAUGCAUAGCCGACCUGAGAGGGUGAUCGGCCACACUGGAACUGAGACACGGUCCAGACUCCUACGGGAGGCAGCAGUAGGGAAUCUUCCGCAAUGGGCGAAAGCCUGACGGAGCAACGCCGCGUGAGUGAUGAAGGUCUUCGGAUCGUAAAACUCUGUUAUUAGGGAAGAACAUAUGUGUAAGUAACUGUGCACAUCUUGACGGUACCUAAUCAGAAAGCCACGGCUAACUACGUGCCAGCAGCCGCGGUAAUACGUAGGUGGCAAGCGUUAUCCGGAAUUAUUGGGCGUAAAGCGCGCGUAGGCGGUUUUUUAAGUCUGAUGUGAAAGCCCACGGCUCAACCGUGGAGGGUCAUUGGAAACUGGAAAACUUGAGUGCAGAAGAGGAAAGUGGAAUUCCAUGUGUAGCGGUGAAAUGCGCAGAGAUAUGGAGGAACACCAGUGGCGAAGGCGACUUUCUGGUCUGUAACUGACGCUGAUGUGCGAAAGCGUGGGGAUCAAACAGGAUUAGAUACCCUGGUAGUCCACGCCGUAAACGAUGAGUGCUAAGUGUUAGGGGGUUUCCGCCCCUUAGUGCUGCAGCUAACGCAUUAAGCACUCCGCCUGGGGAGUACGACCGCAAGGUUGAAACUCAAAGGGAUUGACGGGGACCCGCACAAGCGGUGGAGCAUGUGGUUUAAUUCGAAGCAACGCGAAGAACCUUACCAAAUCUUGACAUCCUUUGACGACUCUAGAGAUAGAGCUUUCCCCUUCGGGGGACAAAGUGACAGGUGGUGCAUGGUUGUCGUCAGCUCGUGUCGUGAGAUGUUGGGUUAAGUCCCGCAACGAGCGCAACCCUUAAGCUUAGUUGCCAUCAUUAAGUUGGGCACUCUAAGUUGACUGCCGGUGACAAACCGGAGGAAGGUGGGGAUGACGUCAAAUCAUCAUGCCCCUUAUGAUUUGGGCUACACACGUGCUACAAUGGACAAUACAAAGGGCAGCGAAACCGUGAGGUCAAGCAAAUCCCAUAAAGUUGUUCUCAGUUCGGAUUGUAGUCUGCAACUCGACUACAUGAAGCUGGAAUCGCUAGUAAUCGUAGAUCAGCAUGCUACGGUGAAUACGUUCCCGGGUCU
rnacentral:rRNA from 1 species